UUUUUUUUUUUUUUUUAUUUUUUAUUUUUUUAUCUCCACAAAGGAGCGCAGUUCGAACGGUGAAAGGCAGAGCUUGCUCUGUGGAUCAGUGGCGAACGGGUGAGUAACACGUGAGCAAUCUGCCCCUGACUCUGGGAUAAGCGCUGGAAACGGCGUCUAAUACCGGAUACGAGCUGCGACCGCAUGGUCAGUAGCUGGAAAGAAUUUCGGUCAGGGAUGAGCUCGCGGCCUAUCAGCUUGUUGGUGAGGUAAUGGCUCACCAAGGCGUCGACGGGUAGCCGGCCUGAGAGGGUGACCGGCCACACUGGGACUGAGACACGGCCCAGAYUCCUACGGGAGGCAGCAGUGGGGAAUAUUGCACAAUGGGCGCAAGCCUGAUGCAGCAACGCCGCGUGAGGGAUGACGGCCUUCGGGUUGUAAACCUCUUUUAGCAGGGAAGAAGCGAAAGUGACGGUACCUGCAGAAAAAGCGCCGGCUAACUACGUGCCAGCAGCCGCGGUAAUACGUAGGGCGCAAGCGUUAUCCGGAAUUAUUGGGCGUAAAGAGCUCGUAGGCGGUCUGUCGCGUCUGCUGUGAAAACCCGAGGCUCAACCUCGGGCCUGCAGUGGGUACGGGCAGACUAGAGUGCGGUAGGGGAGAUUGGAAUUCCUGGUGUAGCGGUGGAAUGCGCAGAUAUCAGGAGGAACACCGAUGGCGAAGGCAGAUCUCUGGGCCGUAACUGACGCUGAGGAGCGAAAGGGUGGGGAGCAAACAGGCUUAGAUACCCUGGUAGUCCACCCCGUAAACGUUGGGAACUAGUUGUGGGGUCCAUUCCACGGAUUCCGUGACGCAGCUAACGCAUUAAGUUCCCCGCCUGGGGAGUACGGCCGCAAGGCUAAAACUCAAAGGAAUUGACGGGGACCCGCACAAGCGGCGGAGCAUGCGGAUUAAUUCGAUGCAACGCGAAGAACCUUACCAAGGCUUGACAUAUAGAGGAAACGUCUGGAAACAGUCGCCCCGCAAGGUCUCUAUACAGGUGGUGCAUGGUUGUCGUCAGCUCGUGUCGUGAGAUGUUGGGUUAAGUCCCGCAACGAGCGCAACCCUCGUUCUAUGUUGCCAGCACGUAAUGGUGGGAACUCAUGGGAUACUGCCGGGGUCAACUCGGAGGAARGUGGGGAUGACGUCAAAUCAUCAUGCCCCUUAUGUCUUGGGCUUCACGCAUGCUACAAUGGCCGGUACAAAGGGCUGCAAUACCUUGGAGGUGGAACGAAUCCCAAAAAGCCGGUCCCAGUUCGGAUUUGGGUCUGCAACUCCACCUCUUGAAAUCGGAAUCCCUAGUAAUCCCAGAUCAACAACGCUGCGGUGAAUACGUUCCCGGGUCUUGUACACACCGCCCGUCAAGUCAUGAAAGUCGGUAACACCUGAAGCCGGUGGCCCAACUCCUUGUGGAGGGA
rnacentral:rRNA from 1 species